UACGUAGGUGACAAGCGUUGUCCGGAUUUACUGGGCGUAAAGAGCGCGCAGGCGGUCGGAUAAGUCGGAUGUGAAAGCCCCCGGCUCAACUGGGGAGGGUCAUUCGAUACUGUUCGACUCGAAGGCAGGAGAGGGAAGUGGAAUUCCCGGUGUAGUGGUGAAAUGCGUAGAUAUCGGGAGGAACACCAGUGGCGAAGGCGACUUCCUGGCCUGUUCUUGACGCUGAGGCGCGAAAGCUAGGGGAGCAAACGGG
rnacentral:rRNA from 1 species